AUACGUAGGUGGCGAGCGUUGUCCGGAAUUACUGGGCGUAAAGGGUGCGUAGGCGGAUAAUCAAGUCAGAUGUGAAAGUCCAUGGCUUAACUGUGGGAGUGCAUUUGAGACUGAAGAUCUAGAGUGCAGGAGAGGGAAGCGGAAUUCCUAGUGUAGCGGUGAAAUGCGUAGAUAUUAGGAAGAACACCAGUGGCGAAGGCGGCUUUCUGGACUGUAACUGACGCUGAAGCACGAAAGCGUGGGGAGCAAACAGGAUUAGAUACCCUGGUAGUCCACGCCGGAAACGAUGAGUAUUAGGUGUAGGGGACGAUAGUCUACUGUGCCGGAGCAAACGCAAUAAAUACUCCGCCUGGGGAGUACGGUCACAAGACUAAA
rnacentral:rRNA from 1 species